rnacentral:rRNA from 1 species
AGUCACUGACAUUAGACUCCCCCGUAGUCCCAGCCGUAAACUAUGCGCGUUAGGUGUAUCGGUGACCACGAGUCACCGAGGUGCCGAAGGGAAACCGUGAAACGUGCCGCCGUGGGAAGUACGGUCGCAAGGCUGAAACUUAAAGGAAUUGGCGGGGAGCACCACAACGGGUGGAGCCUGCGGUUUAAUUGGACUCAACGCCGGGAAGCUCACCGGAUAAGACAGCGGAAUGAUUGCCGGGCUGAAGACUCUGCAUGACUAGCUG